UAGCACGGCUUUUUCUACUUGCCGAGACCUCCUCGUCGUUCGUCCUUCGCGCCGCGGAGUGUUGCUGAGACGCCCAACAUCGCGUCGCAGUGUUGCCAAAUCCGCGAAAGCUUUUCCAUCCGUGCGAGAAAGAUCGAAGAAAAGAAGAAGAACAUCGUGGGUCUGAGACGACUCAGAGACAAGGAGGAUGAGGCUGACGGUGGCGAUCGAUGCCACGUUAGAGUAGCCGGUCUUUACACGAGCCAAAGGUAGUAGUAGCCUUCGGAAAAGGCCGAGAGUUCUGUGCGAAGCCGGAGAAAAGAAGAAAAAAGAGAAAAGAAAAAAGAAAGGAAAAAACGAAAGAUAGAAAGAGAGGAAGGGAUACGUAGAGAGGAGAUCGGGUAUUCCGUGCGUUCGUCGCGCACGGAAUACGUUCAACGAAGAAUGAGUGAGAGAGAGAUAGAGAAAGAGAGAGGAAGAGAGGGCUGCAGGGGUGGGGGUAGUUUAGAUGCCCUCUACAUACACGUCCAACGUCGUAGAGAACGACCUAGCCGAGCGGGUUGUGCUGCUGAAAGAAGACGAGGAGAACAAAUUCAAGCUUGCUGAGAUAUACGUGUCUGUGUGGGUGCGUGCGAAUCUGUGUGGCAACCUCGAAGGAACCAGCCUUCACUCGGGUAGCUCUAGUUUAGCUAUUCAAGGCGGUGCGUACGUCGAAAAGGGAUAAAAGGGUGUACCAAUGGAGACCAAUACGCGCUCGAGUAUUGGCUGACUCCGGCAUGGUGGUCCAGGUCAACAAAUCAUAAUCGUGCCUACGACCGAGUAACGAGGAAAGCCUGAAGAUGUUUGCUGGACGUUGCUUUGGCGCUCUUUCGAACACGCCAGCAAGUAAGAGAGAAAGAGAGAGAGAGAGAGAGAGAGAGAGAGAGAAGAAGGAAAAGGAAGAAAGAGAGAUAGAGAAGUCUUGGUUAAGGCCCAAAGAAAUGGAAGGAGGGGUAGAAGAGAAGAAAGGAAAGAACGAUGCUCAUGAGCGAGAACAAGAGCAAGAACAAGAGAAGCAGUCGUCCUUAUCGUACACGGCAAGUUCAGCAAACAAGAUGAAGAAGAAAGAGGAGAAGAAGAAGAAGAAGAAGAAGAAGAAGAAGAAGAAGAAGAAGAAGAAGAAGAAGGAAAGGAUGCUGAAGAUCCUUUCGUUUGAGCUAUCACCUCGAGAUCGUUCGUGGUAUGCGCUACCUAAAAGCACGUUCUUAAUUCAUGGCGAUCGCUCAACGUUGCAACGCGCCGUCGAAAUAAUAAAUAUUAC